UACGUAGGGGGCAAGCGUUGUCCGGAAUCAUUGGGCGUAAAGCGCGUGUAGGCGGUUCUGUAAGUCUGCUGUGAAAGUCCAGGGCUCAACCCUGGGAUGCCGGUGGAUACUGCAGGGCUAGAGUACGGAAGAGGCGAGUGGAAUUCCCGGUGUAGCGGUGAAAUGCGCAGAUAUCGGGAGGAACACCUAUUGCGAAGGCAGCUCGCUGGGACGUUACUGACGCUGGAGACGCGAAAGCGUGGGGAGCAAACAGG
rnacentral:rRNA from 1 species